rnacentral:rRNA from 2 species
GACAGAGGUGCCGAGCGUUAGGCGGAAUCACUGGGCUUAAAGCGUGUGUAGGCGGACUUCUAAGUACCUUGUGAAAUCCCACGGCUCAACCGUGGAACUGCUUGGUAUACUGGUCGUCUUGAGCCAUCUAGGGGCUGUCGGAACAAAUGGUGGAGCGGUGAAAUGCGUAGAUAUCAUUUGGAACGCCAAAGGUGAAAACAGACAGCUGGGGAUGUGCUGACGCUGAGACACGAAAGCCAGGGGAGCGAACGGG